GUGGUCUACCUUAUUUUCUCUGGGAA
rnacentral:piRNA from 1 species